UACGUAGGGGGCAAGCGUUAUCCGGAUUUACUGAGUGUAAAGGGGGCGCAGACGGCGAUGCAAGCCAGGAGUGAAAGCCCGGGGCCCAACCCCGGGACUGCUCUUGGAACUGCGUGGCUGGAGUGCAGGAGGGGCAGGCGGAAUGCGCGGUGUAGCGGUGAAAUGCAUAGAUAUCGCGCAGAACCCCGAUUGCGAAGGCAGCCUGCCGGCCCCACACUGACGCUGAGGCACGAAAGCGUGGGUAUCGAACAGG
rnacentral:rRNA from 1 species